CAGUAUAUCUGUCCAAACGUUAACAAACUGUCCCGGAAAGUUAGGUGUAACUAUCAGGCCCCAAGCCUCUUCAUCGUCAAGACACAGACACAGAGGCCCGGGCAGAAAAGUGGGAGCUUCAGUCUUCAAGCACCGCCGUUGCUCAGUCCACAGCCUUCCCCGCUUCUCCGGCCCAUUUCCCCUCCUGCCUCUGGACCCCAGGAAACCCACUGCGCAGUCCCAAACGUCCCGUCCCUUCUGGUCGUGAGCCCCACCCGCUCCGACACGGGACAUCGCUCCGAUGCACUGCAGCUCAGACCUCUGGUUAACUACGCCGCCAUCUCGCGUUCGCCGACUGGUCACACGGAUUCCCCGCAGACAUCGCAUGGCUUUAGUACCGUGUCCCUGCCUGUAGAAGAGGAGGUUGACGGCCCUCCAUUGGGCGAGGGGAAGAACGGCGGGCUGCUGUUAGUGGAGAGCCAACCGGAGGCGGUCCCGGGAUCCAGCCCUGAUUCGCCGCGGGUUAGAAAAUGGCGACUGCAAGUACAGGAAACCGCAGACGCCGACACAUCGCCUAUAGCCACUCUCAGUCCACCGCCCAACCCUCUGACCAGCAUCAAGCUGUUACCCAUCCAUCCACCCGGUCAGGCGUCUUCUUUCACACCAACGCAGGCUCCUUUCAUCCGUCACAGUGCUGAGAUUUGCCAAAGUGGGAGUGAUCAAAAUGUGCAGUCUUCUUCAACACAGGGGCUAGUCACAAGUCCCAUCUACGUGAGCUCCAUGGGUCCGCCCAAGCCGGUGCCGGGAGAAUCGGAAGAGGAGACCCUGAGGAAGAAACGGGAGUACUGGAGGGUGAAGAAGAAGGAGCAGAGGGCCAGGAAGGCCAUGAGGGACAGGGAGCUGACGGAGAAGAGGGCGUCGGUCAACUGGAGGCCCAUCCUCCCCAGCGGUCAGACGGACCUGCUGCACGGGAUGGACACACAGGAACAGGAUCCUGACCAUUGGCUUAAUACAGCAGAGGACUCUGAACUUCUAAGUACUUCCACAGAGACAGACAUGGGCUACUUCCCUGACUCAAGCCAUAUGGAACCUUUAGAAGACGAAUCAGAGCUUCUUCACCCGGACGACGGCACCGGUGACGGCUACAACGCCCCGUUCUCGGACACCGUCUGGAGGAACCGCUACCUCAUGGACUACGACCCGCUGAACCAGCUGCUGGUGUGCAUGGUGUGUGGGGACCUCCAGUACUCCCACAGCCUGGAGGGAGUGCGGGCCCACAUCGAAGACGCCCACCCGGACACGCUGAGCCUGGACGCUCCCGAGCACCACCGCAUCCUGGAGGCCUGGGACGAGCAGGUGUCCAGGAGGGAGCGCUUCUUCACCAGCCAGCUGCAGCAGCACAGCGGUGCGAUGGGAGUGGACAGUGCCAGCCUCCCAGCCGAAGUGGAAGUCAUGGUUGACACGGAGGAAGCGGCGUACGCGGCGAACAGCAAGAGCUCCAAAGCCAAACCCACGAGGAGACUGUGAGAGCAAAGAAGCACAAAUGGCUGUAAGAUGGCCCACAUAGCGUGGCAUUGGAAGAUAGUUUUGGCAAGUAGAAGAGGAAGAGAACCUAACUGCUGGUUCCUUGCUUUAGAGUGUGUGUUUUCUACAGAGCAGUUCAUAGCUACAACGGAUGGACUCCUCUUGAACUGUGUACCAGUGUAAGGGACCGUGAACCACAAGUGACACGUUUUACCUCAUUAACUUUGGGAUACAUGCACAGACGCUUUUGAAAACGCUGUUUUAUAGUGAUCGUGAUUCACUACUACAACCCCCCCCCCCCCCCCCCAAACAAAACGUUAACAUGUUCGUGAGGGAUGAUAAUGGCUUCUAUUGUCUUUGGGCUGAAGCACAGUCCGGGUUCUCCCUAAGCCAACAGCGAUGGGUUAACUUCAACCUGUGGUGUAUGUGGCCAUGACAAACGAGUCAGUAGUGGUCCGCAACCUGAAUCGAUGGCAUGUCUUUGGGUUUUAUUCAUCAGUGUAUCAGGAUCAAUAUGGGUGAUCAGUUGUUCUGUGAUUGAUAUUUGUCUGUACAUACAGUGCAUUUUAUAAUUUUGGUUAAUAGUACAUAAUUUAAUAUUUCUCACCGUUCCCAGUAGGUUCUGUACUGAGUUAAGAAUAAUUUGUUAUUCAGGUUUAAGAUGUCCGUUUAAAAAAGACUAAAUCACAAGGGACAUACUUGCAUGAUGGUAUAUUCAAAAUGUGCCCUAUAAAGUACUGAUUUUUCUUUUUGUUUAUGCACCAUACCUGUAACACUGAAUUAAAAUUAUAUAUAUAUAUAUUCUGGCACAUUUCAAAACAAAAUCAGUUUUCUUAAACCAUUGUACUGGAAUGUAAAAUAAGGUUCUUCCUUUUUAAAAGUUUUUUUUUGCAAUAGUGAUUUAUGAGAAAUGUAUUUCUGCACUGUAAAUACAACAUAAUAUUUAUGUUUAAAGGGGUGGUGAAAUACCAAUGCCCUUUUAAUGUAUUAUUUCAUUACCUAUGAAAAAUAAGCUUAUCACUUUAUGGUUGCUCACAUUGUUUCUGAUCUGAUUCAUAUUUCGUAGUAGUCUACAGAUACUGUGUACAUUAACUCUUUAAAUGUCUUUCUUUAGUCUCAACAGUCAGUGGCACAAACACUGUGUUAAUGUCAAAAACAAUCAAUUAUCAGCUUUUUUUUUUUAAAUUUAAUUUUCUAUUUCUUUAUAACUCCAGAAAACCUGAAAAGAUCCAAUGGCCUGCUGGGAUGUUUAACAUUUUAUAUACUACCUAUAUAUGUAUCAGAUAUCAUGUGUAAGAUAUUUUUUAUUAUUUUUUGGUUCACCAGUAUGAAGAGGAAAAUGGAAAAAAAAAAAAUAAUACAAUAGAGCACAAAGCUUUGGAAGCCAGCCUUCUGUUUUCUUAAGAGACUGAAAAUGCAUUUAAAACAGGACGUACUGUGGUUGCGCCCUUAUACAGGUGUAACAGGAUCUAAAGGUGGAGGGACACUGACCAAGCUGUACCAUUUUACCUGAUUAGAUUGUACCUCUAAAUUGGUUCCCAUCUUGUUUCUGUUUAAAUGGAAUGUUCCAAUGCGUUUCCAGUAACCAAUAAACCCUUUUUUGUACCUUUUUAAAGUUGUUCUAUGAUUCCCUGUGAUGUGGUACAAUGAUAAAGUGUAAAUGAGGACAUGUCUUUUCCUGUAUGGUUUAAAAUCAACAAUGUGCGUAAUUCACUAUCAAUCAAACCAGGCUCGCAGGGGUCACUAACCAGUUUG
ensembl:lncRNA